rnacentral:rRNA from 1 species
AGAGUUUGAUCCUGGCUCAGGAUGAACGCUAGCUACAGGCUUAACACAUGCAAGUCGAGGGGCAUCAGGAAGAAAGCUUGCUUUCUUUGCUGGCGACCGGCGCACGGGUGAGUAACACGUAUCCAACCUGCCCUUUACUCGGGGAUAGCCUUUCGAAAGAAAGAUUAAUACCCGAUAGCAUAAUGAUUCCGCAUGGUUUCAUUAUUAAAGGAUUCCGGUAAAGGAUGGGGAUGCGUUCCAUUAGGUUGUUGGUGAGGUAACGGCUCACCAAGCCUUCGAUGGAUAGGGGUUCUGAGAGGAAGGUCCCCCACAUUGGAACUGAGACACGGUCCAAACUCCUACGGGAGGCAGCAGUGAGGAAUAUUGGUCAAUGGGCGUUAGCCUGAACCAGCCAAGUAGCGUGAAGGAUGAAGGCUCUAUGGGUCGUAAACUUCUUUUAUAUAAGAAUAAAGUGCAGUAUGUAUACUGUUUUGUAUGUAUUAUAUGAAUAAGGAUCGGCUAACUCCGUGCCAGCAGCCGCGGUAAUACGGAGGAUCCGAGCGUUAUCCGGAUUUAUUGGGUUUAAAGGGAGCGUAGGUGGACUGGUAAGUCAGUUGUGAAAGUUUGCGGCUCAACCGUAAAAUUGCAGUUGAUACUGUCAGUCUUGAGUACAGUAGAGGUGGGCGGAAUUCGUGGUGUAGCGGUGAAAUGCUUAGAUAUCACGAAGAACUCCGAUUGCGAAGGCAGCUCACUGGACUGCAACUGACACUGAUGCUCGAAAGUGUGGGUAUCAAACAGGAUUAGAUACCCUGGUAGUCCACACAGUAAACGAUGAAUACUCGCUGUUUGCGAUAUACAGUAAGCGGCCAAGCGAAAGCAUUAAGUAUUCCACCUGGGGAGUACGCCGGCAACGGUGAAACUCAAAGGAAUUGACGGGGGCCCGCACAAGCGGAGGAACAUGUGGUUUAAUUCGAUGAUACGCGAGGAACCUUACCCGGGCUUAAAUUGCAGUGGAAUGAUGUGGAAACAUGUCAGUGAGCAAUCACCGCUGUGAAGGUGCUGCAUGGUUGUCGUCAGCUCGUGCCGUGAGGUGUCGGCUUAAGUGCCAUAACGAGCGCAACCCUUAUCU